AAGACUUGUUUCUCCCCCAGGGUAGAGCUUUUGUGACAUCACACUAGAGCUGGAGGUAGAGAUAGUGACCUAGUUCUCAUGGAGUAGCACUGUUUGAGGAGGGCUCACUGGGAACAUGAUACGGUGGUCCCUAGUUUUCCUGGUUUGCCUUCCUCAAAGUAAAAUCUCUGCCUUAUGAAUGAGCUGAACAGGAUCAACUGGGACCCUGCUUUGGAUCAGCAUGACAUGCCUGGGGGGAGUUUCUAAUUUAUGAAUGAGGCUCCUUGGGGAAGAGAGACCUGAUCUCUCUGCUGCUCUUGCCUGGAAUAAAGCUCCUACAACAAGGGACUGAGAGAUGAGAAAAACCUGACAGCAUGCUCUUCACAAGUUGGAAAUGUAGUCCUACACUGAUGCUAUGAGGAAAGGGAGCCUCCAUCUUCAUCACUGUACUUACCAGAAUGAGAGCUCCUGGAACAUUUUCAUAAGAAGUGAUGUGGGGGAAGAAAAAGGACAGGAAGUGGAUACAGAAGAGAUAUAGAAGAUGUGAGGAGGAAGAAGGAAAGAAAGAAUUUCCCCAGCAGCAUAUGUAUUUACUGAUGUCCAUGUUGUGGGUGAUUGGAGUUUGAACCACAGUGGUGACUAUAAGCAUCAGCAUAGAAAGACAUGAAUUUUGGAGACAUUUGGGAAGUCGGAGGCUGCAGUUCUUAGGCUUUUAUUAUUCCUUCCCUAAAGAGCUUUCUCUGACUAUACCCAUCUAUAGGAAUGCUUCUUAAGGGGCAAGGACUAGAUUUAUGUUUUUUCCUAGUCCACCUUGUACUAAUACUUUUGUAAAAAGCAAUAAAAAUAAAUUAGUAGAAAAAUGAAAUAGAAAA
rnacentral:lncRNA from 1 species